ncrna:unclassified sequences pemK RNA
AUAAUGAUACUUCCGCCCAACGCGGCCCGGUCGGAGAGACGGGGAGAUGAGACUUCUAUGU